GAGCUACGGUGACACUUCGCGUGCGGUGUAGGCGCAUCUUCGCUCUGUUGGCCGUGGCUUUAGUAAGCACACACCUGCCUGCUACUCUGGUUAUCGUGGCGACGGCAGGUCUGGAUUGCCAGACAGGUUUUUCUUUUUACCUCGAGGCUUUCUCUGAAGGGAGUCGGAGCAUUUAAAAGGCGGCCUCAAGGUGGAUUGAGUCGGGGGAGGAUUAGCAGUAUUUGCUUAGGUUGUAAAACCGCGACUUUAUCUAAUAAAUCGCCAUUCAAGGUGCAAAUACAAACUUGGAACAGAGGUCAAAAACUAAACUGUGAGGAAAUUGGAAAUAAGGAACCUUCCGUGGGCACAGAAAUUUCUGCAAGGAAAGCAUCAGCAACCAGAAUAAUUUGGUUGCAUUUGGGUUUAAACAGAGGACUUAAUCAUAGCAUGGACAGAAAAGGCUCACCAUCUAUCUAAAUGACUCUGAUUGCACCAUCAUCCUCAUUGUUCUUGUGGAGUCUCGCUCUGUCGCCCAGGCUGGGGUGGAGUGACGCGAUCUCUAUUUUUUAAUAUGGAUGGGGAAACUGACAUUGAAGAAGAAAACAAGAAACUAUUGCCACUGCCUGGCAAGGCUGCACUAGUGCUGGGGGAAGAGGCGUCUUGGCAAUUGAUUGAUAGACUUAAUCUGGGCUUGGCACCUACUUGGAAGGAGAGCAGGGUGUGCUCCAGAAAUUCAAGAAGUGGAUGCAUGGCAGGGCAGGAAGAAGAACAUCAUAGGAUACACUAGAAGCACUGCACUUGCCUUCCUUAGUUGGG
rnacentral:lncRNA from 10 species